UACGGGGGGAGCAAGCGUUGUUCGGAUUUACUGGGCGUAAAGGGCGCGUAGGCGGCCACCGCAAGUCGACUGUGAAAUCUCCGGGCUUAACCCGGAAAGGUCAGCCGAUACUGCGGGGCUAGAGUGCAGAAGGGGCAACUGGAAUUCUCGGUGUAGCGGUGAAAUGCGUAGAUAUCGAGAGGAACACCUGCGGCGAAGGCGGGUUGCUGGGCUGACACUGACGCUGAUGUGCGAAAGCUAGGGGAGCAAACGGG
rnacentral:rRNA from 1 species